UACGUAGGUGGCAAGCGUUGUCCGGAUUUACUGGGCGUAAAGAGCGUGUAGGCGGCCAAACAGGUCCGUUGUGAAAACUGGAGGCUCAACCUCCAGACGUCGACGGAAACCGUGUGGCUAGAGCCCGGAAGAGGAGAGUGGAAUUCCUGGUGUAGCGGUGAAAUGCGCAGAUAUCAGGAGGAACACCAAUUGCGAAGGCAGCUCGCUGGGACGUUACUGACGCUGAGACGCGAAAGCGUGGGGAGCAAACAGG
rnacentral:rRNA from 1 species